ACGAACGCUGGCGGCGUGCCUAAUACAUGCAAGUUGAGCGCUGAAGGUUGGUACUUGUACCGACUGGAUGAGCAGCGAACGGGUGAGUAACGCGUGGGGAAUCUGCCUUUGAGCGGGGGACAACAUUUGGAAACGAAUGCUAAUACCGCAUAAAAACUUUAAACACAAGUUUUAAGUUUGAAAGAUGCAAUUGCAUCACUCAAAGAUGAUCCCGCGUUGUAUUAGCUAGUUGGUGAGGUAAAGGCUCACCAAGGCGAUGAUACAUAGCCGACCUGAGAGGGUGAUCGGCCACAUUGGGACUGAGACACGGCCCAAACUCCUACGGGAGGCAGCAGUAGGGAAUCUUCGGCAAUGGACGAAAGUCUGACCGAGCAACGCCGCGUGAGUGAAGAAGGGUUUCGGAUCGUAAAACUCUGUUGGUAGAGAAGAACGUUGGUGAGAGUGGAAAGCUCAUCAAGUGACGGUAACUACCCAGAAAGGGACGGCUAACUACGUG
rnacentral:rRNA from 1 species